UACGUAGGGUGCAAGCGUUAAUCGGAAUUACUGGGCGUAAAGCGUGCGCAGGCGGUUAUGCAAGACAGAUGUGAAAUCCCCGGGCUCAACCUGGGAAUUGCAUUUGUGACUGCACGGCUAGAGUGUGUCAGAGGGGGGUAGAAUUCCACGUGUAGCAGUGAAAUGCGUAGAGAUGUGGAGGAAUACCGAUGGCGAAGGCAGCCCCCUGGGAUAACACUGACGCUCAUGCACGAAAGCGUGGGGAGCAAACAGG
rnacentral:rRNA from 1 species